rnacentral:rRNA from 1 species
GAUGAACGCUGGCGGCGUGCCUAAUACAUGCAAGUAGAACGCUGAAGGAGGAGCUUGCUCUUCUGGAUGAGUUGCGAACGGGUGAGUAACGCGUAGGUAACCUGCCUGGUAGCGGGGGAUAACUAUUGGAAACGAUAGCUAAUACCGCAUGACAACAGUUAUUGCAUGAUAACUGUUUAAAAGUGGCAACUGCUCCACUACCAGAUGGACCUGCGUUGUAUUAGCUAGUUGGUGAGGUAACGGCUCACCAAGGCGACGAUACAUAGCCGACCUGAGAGGGUGAGCGGCCAAAAUGGGAAGGAGACAAGGCACAGAAUCAUACGGGAGGCAGAAGUAGGGAAUCAGGGGAAAAGGACGGAAGUCUGAACGAGAAACGACGAGGGAGUGAAGAAGGGUGUCGGAUCGUAAAGCUCGGUUGUAAGAGAAGAAAGAGUGUGAGAGUGGAAAGUUCACACUGUGACGGUAUCUUAACAGAAAGGGACGGCUAACUACGUG